AACGCACCUUGCGCCCUUUGGCUAUUCCGAAGGGCAUGCCUGUUUGAGUAUCAUGAACACCUCAACUCUCAUGGUUUGCCAUGAUGAGCUUGGACUCUGGGGGUCUUGCUGGCUCAUGGUCAGCUCCUCUUAAAUGAAUCAGCUUUCCAGUGUUUGGUGGCAUCACAGGUGUGAUAACUAUCUACGCUUGUGGUGUCCUCCCAGGUAACCUUCGGGCAUGGAGGUCGCUGGAGCUAAUAAACGCACAUCUCUCAUUGUAGAGAUGGCUUUUUAGAUGUUUGAUCUCAAAUCAGGUAGGACUACCCGCUGAACUUAA
rnacentral:misc_RNA from 1 species